ACCUGCAUUCCAAAGUGGUCAGAGCUGCCUGUGCUCUGGUCACGGACGACGCAGGGAGAGGAAUCGGUGAAAGCAGUUUCCCGUGCCUGGAGGGUCCGUUCCCGUCCCUCGCAGGCGCUGGCACCUUCACACA